AUAGAGACUCAGAGCUGCAUAUCAAUAAGCGGAGGAAAAGAAACUAACAAGGAUUCCCUUAGUAACGGCGAGUGAAGCGGGAAGAGCUCAAAUUUGAAAUCUUCAAGGUUCUACCUUGACGAAUUGUAGUUUAAAGAGGUGUUUUCUGUUAGUGGAGUGGCAAAAGUUCUUUGGAAUAGGACAUCAUAGAGGGUGAGAAUCCCGUAUUUGGUCAUUCAUUCUAGCUUUGUGAUACACUUUCAAAGAGUCGGAUUGUUUGGGAAUGCAGUCCAAAAUGGGUGGUAAAUUUCAUCUAAAGCUAAAUAUUGGCGAGAGACCGAUAGCGAACAAGUACCGUGAGGGAAAGAUGAAAAGAACUUUGAAAAGAGAGUUAAACAGUACGUGAAAUUGUCAAAAGGGAAGCGUUUGACACCAGUGUUGUUUAGUUGAAAAUCAAUUCAAUAGUUUUUGAUUUUAAGUAGUAUUUGACUUCAUCAGCUUGCUGCUUUUUUCUCUGAAAUUAUUGAAUGCACUUUUCAGUUAACAAGUCAACAUCAGUUUCUUUUGUUGUAAAAGGGUCAUUGGAAGGUGGCUUUCUCUUCGGAGAAAGUGUUUAUAGCCUUUGAUCUCUGCAAUCGGAGAGACUGAGGUCUGCAGCGUAGAUCCUUCGGGGUUAGAUACAUUUGUGCUAAGCUACAGCUUUUCAUAGACAACUUGUUGACUAUGUUUAGUCUUGUGACUUACCCGCUUAUGCUAUUUUACCUACGCUUAGGAUGUUGAAGUCAUCGUAUCGCGC
rnacentral:rRNA from 1 species